CCCCCCAACACUCUGUGUGAUUACAUGUCUGUGAAUAAAGGACUGUCUGAUGGUUACAUCGAUAUGCCAGUACAGGGUAGCUCCAGAGAAGGAACUCCGUUAUGACAUCCUGUCUUCCCACCCCAUGCCUCUCUCUGGUUCCAGGCUGGGAAUAUGAAUUACCUGACUGGCAUUAGGCAUUCUGCUUGGCUGACAGCUGUCAUGAACACACGGGAUGGAUGGAGAGAGACAGAGAAGGAUGAGUCUGUCAGUUACCCUCCCUUAUUCCCUUCUCUCCUUCUCUUGAGGCAUUUCACUCCUUUUAAGCUGUUGUAUAAUGAAGAUCUUCCUCCUGCGGUCCUUCCCAUUUAACACAGGGCACAGACACAGAGCAGACAUUGUGGGCCACUGAGUCUCUUAUUCUUUUGCAGAUCACAUACUGCAAUACUGUUUUUCAUCACCAGACAGACAACUGUAGGGUAAGCACUUUAGAUAAAUAAAUGAACUUUAUUACUUGGUAGAACUGGUGCUCGAAACCUCAAGAUGUUAGGAUCACCAACAAAAAUUUAGGACCACCCUAAAGGCGCAUUACAACUGCCAAUUUAGCGGAAGGGCUGGCAACAUCCUGAUGAUUAAUAGCUUAAACAAUUGAACCUGUUCCUUAAUUCUUUGCCACACACUUGGCCCGGCAUUUAUUGUUCAUCUUUAUUCUAAUUGCUAAUGUUUUAGAAGCAAGUAAGCUGAUUCUGAUAACAGAUUUUUUUAAUAUUUAUUUCUUUAAUUUAAGCGAGAGACAAUAAAAAUAAACAAGACAUUUAUUUGGUCUAUAACAGUCUGUAUCUGUUGCCAUUUAAAAGUAGAAACAACCACUGCAUUUUAAUGAUGAUCCAAACAAACAUGCUGCAUACAUGAGCAGUUUCAGAUGUAAACUAGAAUGUAUUAUUUCAAAAUCUGAAUCAAAAACUGACUUUAACUUUGUCAAAUUAUGCUACAUAAAACAUCUGACCAAAACAAAUGCACGAAACAAAAACAGCAGACCAUCUGAAUGAAAAUGCAGAUUCACUCUAUGACAGCAGG